rnacentral:rRNA from 1 species
UGGGGAAUAUUGCACAAUGGAGGGAACUCUGAUGCAGCGACGCCGCGUGAGUGAUGAAGGAAUUCGUUUCGUAAAACUCUGUUCUAUGGGAAGAAAAGGACUGUACCAUAGGAGAAAGCUCCGGCUAAAUACGUGCCAGCAGCCGCGGUAAUACGUAUGGAGCGAGCGUUGUCCGGAAUUAUUGGGCGUAAAGGGUGCGCAGGCGGCUUUACAAGUUGGAUGUGAAAUAUUGUGGCUCAACCACAAACGUGCAUCCAAAACUGCAAAGCUUGAGUUAAGGAGAGGUAAGUGGAAUUCCUGGUGUAGCGGUGGAAUGCGUAGAUAUCAGGAGAAAUACCGGUGGCGAAGGCGACUUACUGGACUUAAACUGACGCUCAGGCACGAAAGCGUGGGGAGCAAACAGG